rnacentral:rRNA from 1 species
UACGUAGGGUCCGAGCGUUGUCCGGAAUUAUUGGGCGUAAAGCGCGCGCAGGCGGUCCUUUAAGUCUGAUGUGAAAGCCCUCGGCUCAACCGAGGAGGGUCAUUGGAAACUGGAGGACUUGAGUGCAGAAGAGGAAAGUGGAAUUCCAAGUGUAGCGGUGAAAUGCGUAGAGAUUUGGAGGAACACCAGUGGCGAAGGCGACUUUCUGGUCUGUAACUGACGCUGAGGCGCGAAAGCGUGGGGAGCAAACAGG